CUGAGUAUAACUAAUUUAAAAGUGAAACCGCGAAAGGCUCAUUAAAUCAGUUAUGGUUCACUAGAGCAGUCCACUAAGUGGAUAACUGUGGUAAUUCUAGAGCUAAUACAUGCAAAAAAGUUUUGUCCAGGAAUGGAAAAAACGCUUUUAUUAGAUCAAAACCAAUGGGGCUUAUGCCCGUUUACUUGAUGACUCUGAAUAACCACGCAGAUCGCACGGUCUAUGAACCGGCGACACAUCUUUCAAAUACCUGCCUUAUCAACUGUCGAUGGUAGAUGCUAUGUCUACCAUGGUUGUAACGGGUAACGGGGAAUCAGGGUUCGAUUCCGGAGAGGGAGCCUGAGAAACGGCUACCACAUCCAAGGAAGGCAGCAGGCACGCAAAUUACCCACUCCCGGCACGGGGAGGUAGUGACAAAAAAUAACGAUACGGGACUCAUCCGAGGCCCCGUAAUCGGAAUGAGUACACUUUAAAUCCUUUAACGAGGAUCAAUUGGAGGGCAAGUCUGGUGCCAGCAGCCGCGGUAAUUCCAGCUCCAAUAGCGUAUAUUAAAGCUGUUGCGGUUAAAAAGCUCGUAGUUGGUUCUGUGUACCACGCUGUCGGUUCACCGCCUGCGGUGUAACUGGCAUUAUGUGGGACGUCUUGUCGGAGGGGGCUAUAGUGGGCUCAUUUGGUUUCAUUUCGUGAUGGCCUUUGGUCUCAUGGAAGACCGUUUGAGUUUUGCUUGGUUCCCGUUGUUGCUGCCGCGGUGCUCUUUACUGAGUGUCGAGGCAGGCCGACAAGGUUACUUUGAACAAAUUAAAGUGCUUAAAGCAGGCUUAGUUUAGCCUGAAUAGUGGUGCAUGGAAUAAUGGAAUAGGACCUUGGUUCUAUUUUAUUGGUUUUCUGAACUCAAGGUAAUGAUCAAUGUGGACUGGCGGGGGCAUUCGUAUUGCGACGUUAGAGGUGAAAUUCUUGGAUCGUCGCAAGACGGACUAGAGCGAAAGCAUUUGCCAAGUAUGUCUUAUUUGAUCAAGAACGAAAGUUAGAGGUUCGAAGGCGAUCAGAUACCGCCCUAGUUCUAACCAUAAACGAUGCUAGCCAGCAAUCCGCCCAUGUUCGGACGAUGACUCGGCGGGCAACCCCCGGGAAACCAAAGCUUUUGAGUUCCGGGGGAAGUAUGGUUGCAAAGCUGAAACUUAAAGGAAUUGACGGAAGGGCACCACCAGAAGUGGAGCCUGCGGCUUAAUUUGACUCAACACGGGAAACCUCACCAGGCCAGGACUCUGGAAGGAUUGACAGAUUGAUAGCUCUUUCUUGAUUCAGUGGGUAGUGGUGCAUGGCCGUUCUUAGUUGGUGGACCGAUUUGUCUGGUUAAUUCCGAUAACGAACGAGACUCUAGCCUAUUAACUAGCCGUCCGGUACCCAUGGUUACCGGCGCUAAUAAUAUCUUCUUAGAGGGACAGGUGGCGUUUAGCCGCACGAGAUUGAGCAAUAACAGGUCUGUGAUGCCCUUAGAUGUUCUGGGCCGCACGCGCGCUACACUGAUGGAAUCAGCGUGUCUCUCCCUGGCCCGAAGGCCCGGGUAACCCGCUGAACUUCCUUCGUGCUAGGAAUUGGGGCUUGCAAUUGUUCCCCAUUAACGAGGAAUUUCCAGUAAGCGCGAGUCAUAAGCUCGCGUUGAUUACGUCCCUGCCCUUUGUACACACCGCCCGUCGCUACUACCGAUUGAAUGAUUUAGUGAGGUCUCCGGACUGGUGGCAAUUGGGCUCCCCUUACUGGGGCACCGAUGUCGUCGGGAAGAUGACCGAACUUGAUCAUUUAGAGGAAGUAAAAGUCGUAACAAGGUUCCAGG
rnacentral:rRNA from 1 species